GACGAACGCUGGCGGCGUGCUUAACACAUGCAAGUCGAACGGAAAGGCCCUGCUUUUGUGGGGUGCUCGAGUGGCGAACGGGUGAGUAACACGUGAGUAACCUGCCCUUGACUUUGGGAUAACUUCAGGAAAAUGGGGCUAAUACCGGAUAGGAGCUCCUGCUGCAUGGUGGGGGUUGGAAAGUUUCGGCGGUUGGGGAUGGACUCGCGGCUUAUCAGCUGGUUGGUGGGGUAGUGGCUUACCAAGGCUUUGACGGGUAGCCGGCCUGGGAGGGUGACCGGCCACAUUGGGACUGAGAGACGGCCCAGACUCCUACGGGAGGCAGCAGUGGGGAAUAUUGCACAAUGGGCGGAAGCCUGAUGCAGCAACGCCGCGUGCGGGAUGACGGCCUUCGGGUUGUAAACCGCUUUCGCCUGUGACGAAGCGUGAGUGACGGUAAUGGGUAAAGAAGCACCGGCUAACUACGUG
rnacentral:rRNA from 1 species